GGGAAGGUGGCUCAAUGGUAGAGCGCUUGCCUUGUAUGCCUGAGGCCCUGGGUUCUCCAGGGCCUAGGUUCCCCA
rnacentral:tRNA from 1 species